ACGAACAUCGCCGCAAGUGGAUGCCGCACCUACGGACCGAGCGCGAUCUUCAGAUUAAGCGUGCAGCGUACGGAGCACUUUUAAGAUGCGACCGUCUCCAUACCCAACCUUUUUAAUAAAACAAACGUCUAGGAAUCACCACCAUCAGUCCCACUGUUGAGUCUGGCGGCUACUCGGAGACGAAACAUACUCCGUCUUCUAUAUUAUUUAUAACCCUACCUCGACCAUUUACAUUCUACAUCUUUUUUAAAAACAUCCAAAUACCAACAAAAAGUUACAAAUAUCUAACAACAGAAGAUACAUUUAAUUACGGAUUUAGAAGUGUUUGAAGAUCUGAUGUGAAACAUGUUUUAUCAUAUUUCAUUGGAACAUGAAAUUUUAUUACAUCCUAGAUACUUUGGACCUCAAUUAUUAGAUACUGUGAAACAAAAACUGUAUACUGAAGUAGAAGGCACUUGUACAGGAAAAUAUGGCUUCGUAGUUGCUGUAACAACAAUAGAUAAUAUUGGUGCAGGGAUCAUACAGCCAGGACAAGGUUUUGUUGUAUAUCCAGUUAAAUAUAAGGCUAUUGUAUUUAGACCAUUUAAAGGAGAGGUAUUAGAUGCUAUAGUAACACAAGUUAAUAAGGUUGGAAUGUUUGCCGAAAUAGGACCACUUUCAUGUUUUAUAUCACAUCAUUCAAUCCCAGCAGAUAUGCAGUUUUGUCCAAACAUAAAUCCUCCAUGUUACAAGUCUAAAGAAGAGGUAGGAUGUAAUUAUUCAACCAGAUGAUGAAAUAAGAUUGAAAAUUGUUGGUACAAGAGUUGAUGCAACAGGAAUUUUUGCUAUUGGAACAUUGAUGGAUGAUUAUCUAGGACUUGUAUGUAAUUGAAUACAAUCAUUGGUUCUGUAAUACAAGUUUUACAUGUUAAAGCAAUAUUUUUUUAUGAAAUAAUAAAUUCUAUGUAUAUAAAAAACAUUAAGUAAAUAAUGUAUAUUCUGUAUUAUCUAAAUAUGACUAUUCGACCAUAAAUAUUUUAUUUAUUAUAAAUUUGAAAUUGCAAAUUGCGGUAUAUUAAUAUUUAAUAUAUAUUUAUUAUAUAUUUAAAAUAAAAUACA